AGGUGAGAAAAAGUAAUUCCAGUUUAAACAUGUUGAGUUUUUGAUGUGCAAUAAACAACAGAAAAGGAAUAUUGACUAUGCAUCAAACUCCUGCUGUUCUCCGUUUAGCAUCAACUUCCUUUCUGCCCUGAUCCUAACCCAUUCUUCUUUGGAGCUGUCAGCUCUGGCUCUCUGUGACUCAGCACUGAAUUUCAUACCAGAACGGCUGAAGAGGAACAGCCCCAGUCUGCAGUGCCCAGGGAGACCAACGCAGAAGGCAGGGACAUGGAUGAUGCUGGAAACCAUCAUUCUCAGCAAACUAUCACAAGGACCAAAAACCAAACACUGCAUGUUCUCACUCAUAGAAAGUUUCAGAAAGGUGAUGAAAUUUAAGCGGGGCUUCAAAGGCUACAUCAAAUUUGACAAAUGGAAUUGUGAGGAAAGCACAUUAGAAGUAAAGGAAAGAGUGAACGCACAAAAGCAAGAGAACAUCAUGGCAUUUCUGUAGCAUGUAUGAUAACAAACUAUACCAAUGGCAGAGCAACAAGAUGGAAAGAUACUACUUGAUGGAAAGAAACUACUUGAUACUACCCAAGUGUCAUAAGGUUCCUGAGUGGUGACCAAGAGAGUUUCUAGAGGCUGCCUGCAUCCCUUGGCUCAUGACUUCUUUGCAUCACUCUGACGUCUUGCUCCCAUGGUCGUAUCACCUACUACUGGCUCUGAUCUGACUACUUGUUGUAAGGAUUGGUGUGAUUACAUCAGACCCAAUCUGAUAAUUAAAGAUAAUCUCCCCACCUCAAAAUUCUUAGUUUAAUUACAUCUGCAAAAUACCUUUUGCUAGAUAACAUAUGGAACAAAGGGAUAAGGAAGUGACUUGCCUAAGUCACUGAGGAACCUAAUAUUGAGAUUAGCACUCAAUGAUUCCUGGCUCUCAGAAUGUGUGCUGCUACCACCAGGCCACACUCUUCCCUCCAGAGAGAAGAUGUGUCAGCAUGGAAUUGUGCUGAAGCAAAGAUGUGAAAUAGAAUGAUUACAUAUCUAGCUAGUGGGAAGAUCUGGGGAAGAAUCUAUCAGUGCUGGCAGAGAAGCAAACCAUACGACAUCACUCAUCCCCAGAAAGUGAAGUUACGGGAAAUAAAAAACAAUCUACACCAUUUAGAAAACACAGCCACCCCAUACCCUUGGAAAAAAAUACACUAAAACAUCUUCAUUUGAUUUGACCUCUAAUAACAUGAAUAAUUGUCUUAUAACUCACUUUCUUACCUCUUGAUUAUUUUACAGAUCUGGCACAUAUGAGCAAAAUCUGACAAAAUUCACUCAUUUAAUUUGAAGAUUUUAAUUAUGUAGAAAAAGUAGGUUCGCAUUCUUUCUUAUUAAUAGAGUUCAAAAGACUUAAGGCCUAGAGUCUAGCUUCAGCUAUUAAAAUUAUACAUCAGC